AAAAUAUACGAUCCGGUCCAGGAUAAUUAUGUAUUCUAAAAGCUGUAUCAAUUUCAUUAAAAUCUACUGAGCGGUUUUCGAGUUACAGUUGUCAACAGUUCAAAAAACAUAGUUUUGUGGAAAACGCAUUGAAAGUUUCACACUAGCGUGUUAGAGUGCCCGAACGCUCUUUGUUAUUUGUCGACUAACUCGAAAAUUAAUUAUCAGAUCAACUUCAAAUUUUUAGAGAAUAUUUUUUGAGAUAUUACUCUUAACGAAAAUGUAAAAAAAAAAAUAUCUUUUGUAAAUCCUGACUACUCUAACCUCUUAAGAUAUAUGAGAAAUAGCUGUGGCUGUUGUCCGAUUUCAACUAUUUUCAAAUGGUAAAUUUGGUUUAUCAAACUAGCAGACCCGGGCACACGUUUUUGUAGCUAAGGUAUACAUUAAAUUAGUAAAUUUUUCAAAGCAGAGAAAAAAAUUCUUACGCAUAAAGACAAAAACGUUUUAGCCGAUAAAUUUUAAAAUUAUUAAUAGAAAUUAUUGUAGAUCUGUAUUAAGCGUAAAUCAUCAUAAUUUGUAAAACUUUGAUUUUUUAAUCGUAUAUUGAAGAAAGUAACAAAUGACCAAAUUUCAUACUUGGCUUUAUCUUGACUUUUGUGACGAUAUUGAUUACUAUCUUCACAACCAGUCUUGAUCUAAUGCAAAGUCGAGGUUGAUUUAUGUUACGCAGCAUGAUUACAACUCACACUACUUUUAAUUGCAAGUGAGUGGGGAUAGUCCAGCAAUUUAAAAUAGUCUGUGGGAUAAUUGAAUACGUCAUCCUGGUUUGUAGCUGUGUCAACUCUCCUUUAACGAAAUUCUAAAUUGUCGCAUUAAAAUCAAAGAGAUCCUUGUUUUUUUACCACCAAUAUAGGUCCAUCAAGCAGUCAUUUAUGGUUAUCAUAUUGUGGUUUCAUUUCAGGAAAAAUACGAUGAAUAAGCUUCUCCUUCGAGUCAAUGAAGUGACAGAAAUCUUUAGGGAAUGUUAUUAAUCCAUUGAGGUGUCAACUGGGAACCUACCAUUUCCAACUGCUUCUACUCGUACAAUCGCAAUUUGAUAUUGUUGCAAAAUCAGUGGUAUGUUAGUAGUUUAUUGGCGAUUCUUUAAGUGUCGCCACAAAUUCGAUGAUUUUAGGCAUGCGAUUAUCCAUGAAUAACUAACUGGAAGAGUCUUGCGUAAAUCACUGCCAACAUAAUCAUGGUUCCACCACAAAAUUUUUGGUUGUCGCGUAAAUCUUUUGAAUCCUGCGCAGUGCCUCCAGCGACUUCUUGAAUAUCUGGAAAAUCUUGAUUUAAUGAUUUAAUGUUCGGUUGCACCUAACCUUAGCCUUUCCUUAUUUGUUACAAAUUGUUUUGGGCUAUCGACACAACCUUAUGAAAUUGAACAAUAACAAAAAUAUUUUAACAAAGCAACAAUGACAACCUCUAAAAUAUUAUUAUUUUUUGUUUUCUUUUUUCAUAUUUUUGUUGUCAACUCAAAUAAAAUUCUCUUAUUAUUUUCUUCCUCGCAAUUUUUCAUAUUUAAUUACUUUAUAAUCUUUUCCUGGCCUUCCUCGACUUUUUGCGAUACUCAUGAACAGAGCAAUUUAUUUUUAUAUCUAUAGAUUAGAAAUUGUUUGUAUGAGACAUUAGAAAAGUGUGCAUUUUAGACUUUUUCGGGAUAUUUUUUUUAAUUUUUCUCUCCGUAAGAACCAUCCUUAUACUUCGAGGAAUAUUGUAAAAAAAGAAUUCACGAAAUCGAAGAUUUUAUACAAAAUGAUCGAGUAGUUGCUGAUGGAAUGCAAAAAACAGCUUUUACAACAUAUCGUUUUUUCACCACGCAAGUACUCAUAGGUCGGUUGACCUAGGAAAGGUAUGGUUACAUCCACCAUAUUGGGAAAAACCAAAAACUUAUUCACCACUUCGCACAACUUGCUCUCAAUGAUGCCGGUCACAAUGCUAUA